rfam:Clostridium hathewayi CAG:224 genomic scaffold, scf315
UAAUAAAGUAGAGGUUGCGUUGAUUAUGAGUAUUCUGCCUGAUGCAUCGGGGUGCAGGUGAGGGUGGGGGAAAGGAUGAGACGCCGAAGGACGGUACGGCCCGGGACGUAUCUGUUCUGGGCAUAUGAUGAAGAAUCAUAUGACUGUCAUCCUGCAUGGAUGGGGCGCUGCUUGAAGA